UUUUAGCAGCAAAAUUACUUACAUAAAUCAAAACAAAAUUUUGCAAACAAACACAGCUGAUAUUUAUACUGCGAUGGCCAAUUACUUUUACAUGUGAUCAUUUCAAGUUUUCAAGACCUUAUUGCGAAUGAUACUAUCUACUUGAUUGUUUGAUUUUGUAUCUAUUUUACGUCCAAAAAUAUCGUAACUUCUGGACAAAAUCUGCAUAUCGAAAAUGCGGCAACAAAAAGUGGACCAAUAAUGAGGUAAAUCUCAUUCCAUGUUUUCUUGAGGAUACAGAAGGUUUUGAAACUCCAACAGCGCAAAUAUUUUAAAGGAAACUUGUAGCAAGAAAAAAUAUUAGCGCAAUUUGGAAUAUGUUGCGGUUUAAAGUGCGCCACUUAAGACAAAGUUACAGAAAAGCAAGCGAUUGGUGUAACUCAACAGGUUCAGGCCUUAAAAGAAAUUAUCAUCGUUAAGAUAAAUGUAAUUUAGUAAACUCUUCAUCGUUAGCUAAAAGGUUUACAAUUUUGUGGUCUUAUUGUCUAUUGGACUAUUGUCUUAAUAGUCGUGAGGACAUCAGUGGACUAUUCAAUAAAUUUUAGAAGUUUUGAUGAAAUUCCAUGACGGCCCAUAAGCACUGUGGAAAUGUCUUUUACUAAAUCGCAAGUGUGGCAAAAAAAUGCAUGCUGGCCUAUAUUGGCUACGCCAGGCAUUGGCAUAACGGUUGCAAUCUGUUAAGUGUUAUGUUUUCACAAAUAGCAAAAAAAGCAUAAUGCAAGCAAAUUUCAUUUUGUAUAAAAAUAUAUAAUUAACAUAGAUUGAAAAUUAAAAUGAGUACAAAAUUAAGAGGAAUGGAAAAAAUG